GCUCAUUUUGAUGUAACAUAUACUAAAAUUGGUACAAUAUAGAGAGGAUUAGCAUGGCCUUAAACAGGGAUGACACACAAAAAUUCAUAACGUUUUUCAUACUUUU